GGUCGCAUAAUGGUUAGAGCGUCCGCCUCGGAUGCGGGAGGUCGUGGGUUCAAUUCCCGGUCAUAUCAUACCA